UGAUUAAUCGGACGAGAAUAAAGAUAGAGUCCCAUUACCUCGUGUCACCAGUUCAAAUCUGGUUCCUGGCACAUGAGUAAUUUUUAU
rnacentral:tRNA from 1 species